UCAACAUCCAGCUGCCCGUGUGUUCCUCCGC
rnacentral:piRNA from 1 species